UCCCAGGACCCCUCCUGUCUGAGGGCCUGACU
rnacentral:sRNA from 1 species